rnacentral:rRNA from 1 species
UAUAUCCUACGGGGGGCAGCAGUGGGGAAUAUUGGGCAAUGGGCGCAAGCCUGACCCAGCAACGCCGCGUGAAGGAAGAAGGCCCCCGGGUUGUAAACUUCUUUUAUCAGGGACGAAACAAAUGACGGUACCUGAUGAAUAAGCCACGGCUAACUACGUGCCAGCAGCCGCGGUAAUACGUAGGUGGCAAGCGUUAUCCGGAUUUACUGGGUGUAAAGGGCGUGUAGGCGGGAGAGCAAGUCAGACGUGAAAUUCCAGUGCUCAACCCUGGAACUGCGUUUGAACCUGUUCUUCUUGAGUGAUGG